rnacentral:rRNA from 1 species
UACAGAGGUCUCAAGCGUUGUUCGGAAUCAUUGGGCUUAAAGAGCGCGUAGGCGGCGACGUAAGUUGGAAGUGAAAUCCCAUCGGCUCAACCGUGGAAUCGCUCCCAGUACUGCGUUGCUCGAGGGAGAUAGGGGCCUGUGGAACUGCCGGUGGAGCGGUGAAAUGUGUUGAUAUCGGCGGGAACGCCAGUGGCGAAAGCGACAGGCUGGACCUUUUCUGACGCUGAGGCGCGAAAGCUAGGGGAGCAAACGGG